GGGAUUACAGGCAUUAGCCACUGUGCCCAGCCACAAGGUUAUUUCUUGAUUUGAGGCCAAGAUCCCAAGAGACCCUCUUUGUUUUCUCUACUCCAGCUGGAGGAAGGGAUGCAACAAACUCAGGAACCAGAGAGCCCUGCAUAAGAAACAAGACAGAGGGAAGCUUCCGGAGGAUAGAGAGCUUCAGCACACUAAGAAACAGACUAAUUGGGCAGGACUUCUGAUCCCUGCCAUGAACAAUAACGUGGAUAUGACUGCCAGAAAGCUGCAAGAUCUUGCUCUGUCGCCCAGGCUGAAGGGCAGUGGUGCUACCAUGGCUCACUACAGCCUCCACCUCUCAGGCUCAAGCAAUCCUCCUGCCUCAGCCUCCUGAAUAGCUGGGACUACAGGCACGUGCCACCUCAUCUGGCUAAUUUUUAUCAGUUUUUUUGUAGAGAUAGGUGUCUUACUAUGUUGUCAGCCUGGUCUCGAACUUGUGGCUCAAGCGACCCUCCCGCCUCAGCUCUUUACUUUCUGGAAUUCAAAAGUUCAAAAAAACUGUCCCCUGGAUUUCUAGGUGUACUUUUAG
rnacentral:lncRNA from 10 species